GAGGCUACGGUGAGCCGGUGACCAGAGGGCACCUAGCCCACCUUCCCUAGGCAGGGCCCGAGGGUCCUUGAGCCCGCACGAACCUGUUGAAGACCCAGUGGCAGGACGUUAGGGCGGGCGCCGCACCCCAGGGCGGCUCCCCCAGCCCUGCGCGGGCGCGGAACUGGGCGAGGCGGGGGCGGCGGGGCUGCUGCAGAGCAGCACGGACCACGCCUGCCCGCAGCCCCACACCGUUACUCGCAGAGCCUGGAAGAGGCCCCGGGAGACCCCCGAUUCGGCACGCACCCCCUUGACAGGACCGAGUGCGUCCGGGGGGGCAAGCGACCUCACUGCGAAACCCGCCGCGUCCGGAGGGCCGGCUCCCCGCCCCCACGGCCUCCGGGGUGCAGGGCAGCAGCAGCGUCAUGCGCCCCGGCCCGCGCCCCUCCUCCGCUCUCCCGCAGGCAGCCCCGGAUGAUUCAGGAAGAGUGCUCCUCUGGGAACGCCCCACCAGGCAAAGCUGGAGAAAGGCCGGAAGGGCGUGUCCUGUCCAACCUCAGGCCGGUUCACUCAUUGCAAUCAGGAAAUGCCUAAUACAGAAGAUGCCAGAAUCUUUCUUUUUUCCUGCGGCUGCACUCCACCUUCCAUAUCUCAGGAAAGUGGUCUUGGUUUGGUUUUGGUCUGGGUCUUUUUAUAUGUUCAUGUGAUUUUUUUUUUCUUUCUUUGAUUUUGUUGUUGUUUUGAUUCCAAAAUGGAAAGACUUAAUUGGUUUCCAGAGUAGGAAACACCCAAUUUCUGCUCUAGUUUUUGUCUUUUUCAUAUCCUGAGGUUAAUCAUGUUGAAGACACAAAAAGCAGAUAUAGGGCAUAUCAGCCUCCUCAAUGUUCAGUAACUUAUUUUUACACGAACUUAGCUUCUGAUUAGCUGCUAGUUAACAUACAAUCCAAAGCUGCAGUCUUACCCCUAUGAAAGAGUAUCUGCAAACAGUGCCUUCUUCGUCUCUGGCUGGAAGUCCCCGUGAAUGAAAAUUUACAUAUGUGCUUCAGUUGAACCAAGUAAAACUUUUAUCAAAAAGUUUUAUCAAAUAAACCUUAAACACAUGAAAAUGAUACUCUUUAGCUAUAAUGUCUACCCACGAAAGGUCGUUUUAAAGCAGGUGCUGUUACAUUUGAUAAAUUGAGUGGAUUCUCUAUUUCAACUGCAGGGGUAUGUUCUGAAAUUUUGGAUAUUUGGAAGGACCUCAGGAAUGGCCAGAAAUGCUACUGGUGGUGGUUUAAUUUUAACAGAUUGAUCUGAUUGUAAAGGAAUAAUGCUACUAACACCCCCUUUCAUUUAGAGACAUCUUAGACACAGCUCCAAACUUUGAAAACCACGUAAGACUACUAAUAGAAGAAUUACUUCACGUUUAGGAGAUGUUUGAUGGUGAUUUCUUCAGCUCAUCUGACCAAGACCGUUGGCUUCAGAACAAGAUACAGCUCAGCAGUUAAGAGCCCUGGCUGCUCUUGCAGAGAGGACUCAGGUUCAGUUCCUAGCUCCCACAGGAUGCCUCAUAGCCUUCUGUGGCUCCAGUUGCAGGGCAUUCUAUACCCUCUUCUGGCCUCUAUGGACACCAGACAAGCAUGUUGUACACAGACAUACAUGUAGGUAAAACAUUCAUAAACAUAAAAGAAAUGGAAUAAAUCUUUUUUAAAAGCA
rnacentral:lncRNA from 1 species